UUUGAAAUUUGAAAUUUAAAAUUUUAAAAUCUAAAAUUUGAAAUUUGAAAUUUAAAAAUUAAAAUUUAAAAUUUAAAGUUUGAAAUAUAUUUUUCAAAUUUAAAAAUUUAAAAAUUCAAAAAUGAAUCUGAAAAUUAAAAUUUAAAAUUAAUUUUAUAAUUUUUUGACAUCGUUUACCAAGCGAUCAAAAUGUCUCAAAAAUGAAUAUUUUAUCGGCCGAUGUGGCACGUUUUUAAGUUCAACGGUGUAGAACUAUCCAAAUUAGAUGAAAAUUUGCUAGAAAAUUCUACUUUACAUCAAUAGCAAGGCUAAUACUUCUGAUUUGAAAUUUGAGUCAUUUAUUACUAUUUUUUAUGAGAUUUUUAUUUUCAGCUGUUCAUUUUGAGGCUACUUGUUUACUAAACAAACGAAGUUAAAAAAUUAUGAAAUUUGGUUUCAAGGUAGUUCCAAUAGCGUAGAUCAUGUCUAGUGAAACCGAUCGCCGAAUUGGAUGUCCCAUUGUUGAAAACAACUUACAAGUACAGCGACUUCCAUACUUUCGAAAGCAUAGGAGCCUAGCUCUAUAUAUAUAUAUAUAUAUAUAUAUAUAUAUAUAUAUAUAUAUAU
rnacentral:lncRNA from 1 species